rnacentral:rRNA from 1 species
UACGAGGGGGGCAAGCGUUGUUCGGAAUUAUUGGGCGUAAAGGGCGCGUAGGCGGUGCGGCAAGUCAGGUGUGAGACCUCCAGGCUCAACUUGGAGCUUGCAUCUGAAACUGCCGUGCUAGAGUGUGGGAGAGGAGAGUGGAAUUCCUGGUGUAGCGGUGAAAUGCGUAGAUAUCAGGAGGAACACCGGUGGCGAAGGCGGCUCUCUGGACCACAACUGACGCUGAGGCGCGAAAGCUAGGGGAGCAAACAGG